rnacentral:tRNA from 1 species
GCACCCGUAGCUCAGCUGGAUAGAGCGCCGCCCUCCGAAGGCGGAGGCCAGAGGUUCGAGUCCUCUCGGGUGCGCCA